AGAGAUGAGCAUGCAUCGUGAUUUGCGGGAGGGAUCGGAGCCGGUAAUGCAAUCGCGAGGGUGGGUACGCGGAGCGGGUAAAGGAGAGUGCGGUGACAAAACAAUUUUACUUUUGGCGGAAUCAUUCUCUAGCUCUUCGUUUUUUCGGUCUGCCCCGGCGCUGUCAAACUAAUUGUCUUACAUGUGGGCCUUCAAAAGUUGUUUUGUGAGAGGAAUGGGUAGGAUAAUUUUGGUGAGAAUUGUAUCCAAUUCUUUCAUCCUUUAUAGUAUAGAAUAGUAUAGAUGAAAUGCGUUGCAUCACUUUUCUCUUCCAUAGGUUAAUUAGGAAUCUAGAUCUACUAAUUCCAAUCAGAAAUCUAGAUCAGGUACGCAUCUGUAGCGCGUCAUUUUUCCUCUCCACUUCUAAUUCUGUUUAAUCCUAUCAGAUGUGCUGCAUUAUCUCUUUUCUCUUCCAUGGGUUAAUUAGAAAUCUAGAUCUACUAAUUUCUCUUCGCUAUGAUCAUUCAAAGAGGCGUUUACCUCUAAGAUUAUUGAGCUCUGCACCACACUAAUCUACAAUUGAACAAGUAAUAAUAUAAGUUCGUACAUUAUUUAUUUAUUUAUUUUGCAUAAGUGCACAAGAUAGGAGACGUUCAAAGGGAUACUGAUUGUAUUUUCAUUUUUCAUUAAUUGAACUUUCAGUUCUGUUUAAGGCAUAUGGAUUGAGGGUUACUUUCCAAUUGAAAAUGAAAAGGGUUAGAACAGAGUACAUUGUGUAUUUAAACAACAAUGAUUUUCAAGGACAUUCCUUGCUCUGGGAGGGAAAUUUUUUUGAAGCUGUUGUAUGAAAUACAAAACAAAGUUGACUAAUGCUCCAAACUUAUACUUUUUAAUAUUAAUUAUUUAGUGAUAUGGUGAAAAGGAAAUAUUAUUGUUCAAAUAAGCACCUCGAUAGGUUUUGAUCAAACAGCCAGUGAGCAGGAUAACUAUUGGAACAAUUUCAUCUUUAUCGCAAACAGCAUCGAUGUUGAGUUGUGUUGCUUUCUGACCCAACGGAGAAUCUGGUAAAUUUUAAUAGCUCUCAUUUUGUCCAAUCUAUUUGUUUUUAUCAUAAUACAACAUAGAUGGUUCUAAAAAUACCUCUAAUAUUAUUCUCCUAAUGCCUUUGCAGAAAUCCAAUUAUCACUAUAUCUGAAGCCUACUACUUGAAGUGAACCUGCAUUUCUAAAAAAAAAGCCUGGUCAGAUCAAUAAGCUACCAAGAAAUAUGUUCGUAAUUAGCGCAUCAUUCAUCUCCCGGCUAAAGGCUGCUGCAAUUCGAUGUCAACUACCAGGAUGGAAACACGGAUCCGACAGACUACAUGUACAAGUCCUCCAGGUAAGAUGACAUUGGAAAUUUUCAUAUGCAGAGAAAAGAAACACAAGCAAAGCUGGCGCAUUGUCUGCGCACGCUUUGGUCACUCUGAUGGAGAAAAGGCUUCAACGAUGUGAAGAUCCAUGAACAUCAUUCUGAUAAAAGGAAAGGAAGUAUCAGAUUAAGAGGUGAAAUAAACAUAAGAGAGAAAUGCUACUCCAUAAUAACUCUUGGUGGGUUAUGCUUCUGUC